CAGUAGCCGCGGUAACACGGAGGGUGCAAGCGUUAAUCGGAAUUACUGGGUUUAAAGGGUCCGUAGGCGGUCUUGUAAGUCAGUGGUGAAAGCCCAUCGCUCAACGGUGGAACGGCCAUUGAUACUGCAGGACUUGAAUUAUUGGGAAGUAACUAGAAUAUGUAGUGUAGCGGUGAAAUGCUUAGAGAUUACAUGGAAUACCAAUUGCGAAGGCAGGUUACUACCAAUUGAUUGACGCUGAUGGACGAAAGCGUGGGUAGCGAACAGGAUUAGAUACCCGCGUAGUCCCUGUCUCUUAUAC
rnacentral:rRNA from 1 species